AAAUUGACAAGAUGUACGCUGCUUUUACUGGCCAACCUCUCGACCAAGUGCAACAAUACACUGAGAGGGAUCGUUUCUUAUCUGCUUCUGAGGCCAUGGAGUUUGGCUUCAUCGACGGUAUCCUAGAAACCGAGUAUUAAAAUUCCAGCCAUCCAUGGAAGAUUAUUCAAUGCAAAUUUGGAACUUGGUGCUGCAGAUUGCUGUUUUGAGGAUGAUCAAUUGUAGCUUCAUGUGUGAUGUCGCAAAUGGUGCCAUAUCAUGGUGCCUAUCGAUUUUAAUGCUAAUUAGUUGAGGUUCUGAUUAUAGAAAUACAAGAUUGUUUUAUUUUAA